rnacentral:lncRNA from 1 species
AGAUGGGAAGAAAAAGAUCAGGGGAAUAUUCUCAAGGAAGCAUCUAGAUGGGACACCUACACCCCUCUCUACCCUAAUUUCCCCCUAUAAAUACACAUCUCCCCAUCAUGUUUCAACUUACCUAGGAUUUUCUCUUUUUAGUAGGCUUCUUUUUCUAGUCUAGAUCUAGUUUUAAUUUGUAUGCUCUCUCCCCCUUUUGUAAACACAUUUUAAUAUUUUAAUGCAAGAAUUCAUUUUUGUUCUUACAUUCUUGUUCUUUAGGUUUUCUUUGGCUAUGAAAUCUUCCUCUAACUACAAAAGAAUUCAAAGUUGUUUGUAGAUUGGAAGGAGCCAUUAAUUAGUUGUAGCUUUUUUAUAUUUAGAUUUGAUUUCUGGAAAAAGCUAAAACUCUAGCACAAAAGAUGAUUUGUGUUGGGGUUUAGACUUAAGAAAUUCCAAUAUCAUUAUGUUUUACUUUUAUAAAAUGCAAAAUAGUAGUUUAAUAAAUAUAAUAUUAGUGUUAAAGAGCCUUAUUACAGCCCCCUGCUUAGUUUUAUUAAAAUAAACUACCUACUGCUCUGUUAUUAUUUUUCUUUGUUAAAACCAGUGUUACAGAAAUUGGGAAUCGGACCUAAUCGGUUGAGCUACCGAUUCAAGGAUUAAUCGGAAAUCGGGGACUAAUCGGAAGGAUUAAUCGGAGUUAAAAUCGGGUUUCUUUUAAUAUUAAAAUAUCAUUUAAUAUUUAGUUAUUAUUAUAUUGGCUAUUUAGUAACUAAUAUAUUUACUAUAUUCAUAAACUCUAUAAUUAUUCAUAUUUAAAGUAAUAUAGUAUUUUAAUUUUAAUAAUUUAUCACAUAUACUUCGAUUAUUAAAUAUAUAUAAGGAUUAAUCGGAUUUCAAAAAUCGGAUCGGUGGUCGACCUUGCAGAGGAUUAAUCGGGGAUUUAUCGGUUAAAUCGGGGAUUUUUAGAAGACUGGUUAAAACACAUAUACUCCCCUUUUGUCCCCUGUUUUGUAAAAGAAACUCACCCCCUCCCCUGUCUUUUAACUUGUGCUUUCGUUUUCAAAACCCACAUGGAAACCCAUUUCCUAUUUCUUGUUUCUUCUUCGAUUAAAAACCUGCGACCCUCUUCUUUAGCUGAGUCUUUCGUUUUCUGUUAGUAAUCGAGUCUAGUCUGUUAUGCUUGUUGGUUGUCGUCUUUGUUUGCUUUCUUUCGAUUUCGUUUUCGCCGAGUCAAAUGCCUGAGUAGUCAGUCUGUUUCUGGAUUGUAUUUUGCCGAUUUGCAGCGUUUAUUUGUGUUGGUUUUGCUCAGCGUCGAGUCCUGUUGAAUGCUUGUUUUGUUGAGUAUGAGUCGUAGCUGAGUCGCCGAGUUCAGGUGGUCUGUCUUUGUCCUAGUCUGUCGAGUGUUUCAUUGCUUCCUGUAGUCGAGUUUUGGCACCGAGUCGUGUGUUUGCUGCUCCGAUUUGUUGAGGCUGCGUCUUUUGUUUAUGUCGAGUUAUUCUGGCUUAAGUUUGCUUUCUUUCGUUAGUUUUUGUUGCUGGAUUCUACUAUCAGGUUUAUUAGUAUAGUUUUGUGUCUGAGUUAAUGCUGCUGUUGGGUGUUGGUUUAAUCUGGCUUCUUAAAUCGAGUCUAUUCUUGCUGUGUUUAAGUCGAGUAGCUGUUCAUUCGGCCGAGUUUGAUUUAUGCUGAGUUUUAAUAGGGUCAUUUGAUGCUGAGUUGUUUGGCUGCUCUUUUAUUUAGUAAGUUUGUAUUGCUUUCUUGAGUUUGUUUCUUUUCUUUUUGUCGUCUUCUUAUCAAGUCACCUCCUGGAAGUUUUCAUUUUCUUUUGUUUUUUUUUGUGUUUUGCCGUAUGAUUGUUUCAUUUUCUGGUCAGUAAAGUAUGCUUAACUAAUUUUAGUUUAUUUAGUUAGUUAAUCUUGGUAAUAAAUUUUGGUUAACUACAUUAUUCUCGCACUUUAAUUUUAUAAAAAUUAGUUUUCAAAAUUAGUUUAAUAAGAAAACCCCCCCAUUUUCAAAACUUAAAAUUCCUAAUUCGCCUAGGUUAAUAAUAAAAGGAUUUGUGAAAGUUAAUUUUAAUCUCUGUGGAUCGAAUUAUAAAUAUUAAAACGGUGAUCGUGCGCUUGCGAUUAAUAAAUGUAAUAUUUCAAGCACAUCAGUCAUAUCUUUCUUUAAGAAUUUGGUCUUAAAUAUAGGUCUUAAUCUGUGAUUUUGUUCGGAUUGUAUUAAUUAUAUUAGUUUGGUUCACUAUAAUUUAAAUAUUAUUAUAUAUAUAAUUAUUAUCAAUUAAAUAUAUUAUUUUAAUAUGAUAACAAAUUAUAUAGAUUGGUUAAAUAUGAUUAGAUGUUUAUAGUCAAUCUACGCAACUUUAAGAUGUUGGCUAAAAUUAUAUACAACACCAUUAUUUUCACUAGAAGUUCAAUCUUUUUUACCUAAUCUUCAUACUUAUUAUUUAUAACAUGUAUAAAUUAUAUUUAACUAAGAAUUUUACAAAGUUCUAAUUUUUACCUAUGAAAAAGAGAUCAAUACCACUGAGAUCUUUUCUUUUGUCUCAUUUCUUACAUUAAUAUAAUUUUUAAUACUAUUUUUAUAAGAUCUUAAUACAUGUCAUAUCUUUCUUUAAGAACGUGGUCUUAAAUAUAAGUCUUAAUCUGUGAUUUUAGUUUUACAAGGGUACAUUUGUUAAAUGUUAUACGGAAAAAUAAUGCAUACUAGCUUGAAGUAGGUUGAAACAAGGAGAGUAUAGGUUGAAAUAAUGCGGUUGUGCUAGAAAUUGAAAUGCUGUUGGUUUGUAACGGUGUCAAUGCAUUCAUGAGUUUAUUUAUGUACCUUGCAGGAAUACUGUACCUUGUAGGAAUGUAUGUACUUAAUUAGCAAAUUGACGUGUAGUUGUGUAGGAUGGUAAAAGCAUCAUUUUGCUAGCUAGCUAGCUGUCUGUUUCUAAUUAGAUGAAAAGAAAUCUGAAUGUUUAGCUUCUUAGCUUUUGUCAAAGAAUAUGAAUGCCGCACCACCAAGUUGUAUGUUGCCUUAUUUAGACAAGGUAAACUUUCUCUACCUAACAGUUUUUUUUUCCUUUUGGCGGUUGCAGAGUUUACUUUUCUUUUUCAUUUUUUCAUGUAGACAAUUUGCAAGACUGCAGGGAAUAUUGCAAAGCCUAUUAUCGCUGAACAAAUUCCGAAGUAUAUAAUCGAGGCAUAAGACCUUAUGCAUGGCUGUAUGUAAUGCCAAAUAAAAUAGUUAAGUAUCACUUGCAUAUCAUCCUUGUCUCUCAAAACAAUAAUAAAAUAAAAAAUUUCCUGAAAAACAUCUAAAAGCUAUAUAACUAGAUUUUGACCGCCCAUUCGCCACUGUCAAACGUAAGCUCAAGACUCGCAUAGCUAAGAACUUAACCAUAUGCGAAGGUCUAUAUCUUUGACUUAUAUUAUUAUUUACUAAAUGAUAUAAAUAAAAGAUGAAUAAACCAUAAGGAUAUCAGACAACAGCCAUUCUUUUAAUUUUACUUAUACAGUCCAUCAACUUUUAAUUUUGUCAAGGCAGUAGGUGCAAACUUUAAAGCUGAGGUGCCUUCUUUUAGCAUGUUUUUAACUAGAUUUAGGGCUCCUAGCAUGNGUUUCAUUGCUUCCUGUAGUCGAGUUUUGGCACCGAGUCGUGUGUUUGCUGCUCCGAUUUGUUGAGGCUGCGUCUUUUGUUUAUGUCGAGUUAUUCUGGCUUAAGUUUGCUUUCUUUCGUUAGUUUUUGUUGCUGGAUUCUACUAUCAGGUUUAUUAGUAUAGUUUUGUGUCUGAGUUAAUGCUGCUGUUGGGUGUUGGUUUAAUCUGGCUUCUUAAAUCGAGUCUAUUCUUGCUGUGUUUAAGUCGAGUAGCUGUUCAUUCGGCCGAGUUUGAUUUAUGCUGAGUUUUAAUAGGGUCAUUUGAUGCUGAGUUGUUUGGCUGCUCUUUUAUUUAGUAAGUUUGUAUUGCUUUCUUGAGUUUGUUUCUUUUCUUUUUGUCGUCUUCUUAUCAAGUCACCUCCUGGAAGUUUUCAUUUUCUUUUGUUUUUUUUUGUGUUUUGCCGUAUGAUUGUUUCAUUUUCUGGUCAGUAAAGUAUGCUUAACUAAUUUUAGUUU